AACAGGCCCCACAUGGAGGCUUCUCUGCCUGCUCAUGACAUGAUGGCUGAGGACUGCCUUUCCUUCUGGUGUCCAGGGACACUGGCCCUUAUCUCAGUUCCUCAGACUUCUACCUGGACCUUCCCUGUCUGCACUGCCAGUGGUUUAUUUCAGCUCCUCCACAAGGACAAGCAAGACCCAGGCAAAGGAGAGCCAGCCACUCAAAUGCAAGUUCCACGGGUCUCUCUGAGUGAAAAUUAAAGUAAAUAAAAGAGAAGGAAAAAAGAAUGCAUCAAAUAAGGCAAGAUUCUGAUUUUUGGUUGAGCUGGCUCACAAAGCAGAUUGUCAAACCAUGUUUGCACAUGGUCACCUUUAAGGUCUAUAGCAGGAACCUGAUUUCAAGGAAGUCCAAAACAUGACAAAGUUCCUCCAGGCCUCAGGUCAUUCAGCAAGCUGUUUGAAUGUACAUGUUCGAAGCAUA